UCCAGACUCCUACGGGAGGCAGCAGUGGGGGAUAUUGCACAAUGGGGGGAACCCUGAUGCAGCGACGCCGCGUGGGUGAAGGAGCGUUUCGGCGCGUAAAGCCCUAUCGGCAGGGAAGAAGGAGGACGGUACCUGACUAAGAAGCCCCGGCUAACUACGUGCCAGCAGCCGCGGUAAUACGUAGGGGGCAAGCGUUAUCCGGAUUUACUGGGUGUAAAGGGGGCGCAGACGGCAGCGCAAGCCAGGAGUGAAAGCCCGGGGCCCAACCCCGGGACUGCUCUUGGAACUGCGCGGCUGGAGUGCAGGAGGGGCAGGCGGAAUUCCUGGUGUAGCGGUGAAAUGCGUAGAUAUCAGGAGGAACACCGGUGGCGAAGGCGGCCUGCUGGACUGCGACUGACGUUGAGGCCCGAAAGCGUGGGGAGCAAACAGGAUUAGAUACCCCAGUAGC
rnacentral:rRNA from 1 species